AUUGAACGCUGGCGGCAGGCCUAACACAUGCAAGUCGAGCGGAGCGGCGGACGGGUGAGUAAUGCCUAGGAAUCUGCCUGGUAGUGGGGGAUAACGUCCGGAAACGGGCGCUAAUACCGCAUACUAUCUGAUUAGCCUAGGUCGGAUUAGCGAGUGGGUGGGGUAAAGGCCUACCAAGGCGACGAUCCGUAACUGUUCUGAGAGGAUGAUCAGGCACACUGGAACGGAGACACGGUCCAGACUCCUAAUGGAGGCAGCAGUGGGGAAUAGUGCACAAUUGGAUAAAGCCUGAUCCAGGCAUGCCGAGUGGGUGAAGAAUGUCUUCGGAUUGUAAAGCACUUUAAGUUGGGAGUCGUUAACAACAGAAUAAGCACCGGCUAACUUCGUGCCAGCAGCAGCGGUAAUAC
rnacentral:rRNA from 1 species